AUCCAGCUUGUGUAUUCAGCUGCUGUAAGCUUCAGUAGCUGCCCUGCCUCAAACCCUGCAUGGGCAUUCUCUUUUUUCCCCUCUGCCUGCCAAUAUAUAUCAUAUCCAGCUGCCUUGCUAGGUGGUGCAAGGCAUAACUCCUUCACAUUUUUCAAUUAAAUCGAUUUCAAAGCUUUAUUUAAUGGAAUAAAUACACCUUAUUGCUACUUCCUGACUUAAGGCACUCAUGAGAAAAUAUUACUCUCGUCUGGAAAUUAAAUCUCAUGCCCUGGAAUUUACGUCACGAAAGAUACAGUCUGUGCCUUCAGCAGCCUGAUGGACUAGAACACAGGCAGCCCAGCUCUUCAGCAAACAUCAGGGCUGCUGCUGAAACUGCUCAGCGCUGUUUGUAGCAAAGCUGCUUGGAAAGUUAGGAAAUUUGUCUAGAGAAGAUGGACUGUCUUUACUUUCUGGCUAUUGUGAAGCUUUGGGGAAGCCAGUCCUGGGCAGUUUUCCUGCACAUUUCCCCCCAUUUUGGGCCUGUUUUAUGAGCAAGCCCCCGAGCAGCUGUUUGGUUGCCAAGAAUAAGUGUUAGCAAGAAGUGUUACUCCUGAGUGCUCAGUCACACAGCACUGAGCGCCUGUGGCAAAAAAUAGCUUUUUGUAGAUUGCUCGAGUUACAAAGAGGAAGCUGAAUUCCCUGAGGCUCUUGUAGGAGGGGGUAAAAAAAGACUUUUUUGUCCAACUAUGUCAUACUCACGCAGUCAUGCCAAAGCAUGAUGGUGUGCUGUUCUUGCUUUUCAGAGGCCUCCAAAUUGAUUGCUUUUCUUCCGAGAACAAGCUAUCUGACAGAUAUAGUGAUUAAUGACAUUGCAGACUUUCCCUGCUCCCUGCAGGUCCAGCCUUCAUCAGCAAGAAUGAGGCAGCUGCUAGCAUGGGGCUGGGAUUUCUUCCCGAAACUUGCCAGAUCCAGAAACAGGAUUUGUGUAUGUGUGUUUUGGUUGGUUGGUUUGUUUGUUUGUUUUCACUCUGUGCAAUUUUUCUUUAAUGGAGACUGUCAUUUGUAAUUGAGACUAUCACACUGAAAUGUGAGGAUAGUGCAGAAGUGUAUGUAAUUUAGCUAAUUCUGAGCAUGUUCAUUCCCCUUGUGAACACAGACAGCAUUUUUAGCAGUCCUACACAGUGCUUUCUAGCCAGCAACAUUCUGCUAUAAAAGCAAAGUUAACAUCCAUCACUUCUCGUGACUGGAACAGGCUGCCCAGGGAGGUUGUGGAGUCUCCUUCUCUGGAGACAUUCAAAACCCACCUGGACAUGUUCCUGUGCCACCUCACCUAGGCAUUCCUGCUCCAGCAGGGGGAUUGGACUAGAUGAUCUUUUGAGGUCCCUUCCAAUCCCAAACAUACUGUGAUACUGUGACUGCUUAUCUCUUGGCUGGUGCUACAGAGCAUCCAAAACACUCUGUCAAAACUAGAGUCUCCUUGUGCCAGAUCCUGUACAAACACCUUGGCUGGGUUAGUCUAACCAGAGGAAACACACAGAAGUAGAGACUGAUUUUUGUGAGUGCUGGGUCCAAGCAAAUGCAGCUGGGGAACAUGGUUAAAUAGUUUGCAUGAGAUUGUACAUGCACAAGCCCUGGAGUUGAAACUACCUCCUGGUUUCUGAAUACUCACAGAGUGAGGUUUCCAGCUGGAUGAAUGAAACCACAAGGCAGAGGAAGGAUGGUGGAAACUGCAUCACCUCCUUCAGCCCGGGCUGUCUCUGCUGUCCUUAGCAGUGUUGUCCUUAUGUGGCACACUGGCCCAGCGGAAACUUUAUCAUUUUUUUUAAAGUGUUGUUGCAUAAGUUGUGGUUUGCAUCCUGUGAAUUGGAUGUGUGGCCUUUGUAUAAGCAGUUGAAUACACCUGUUGCUGUAGGUAACUGAAUUUGAUUUGGCUGACUUUGAUGUUGGUAAAAUGACAGGCAUUUUCUACACCAUGUGCAAAAGAACAGCACAGAUAAAGUAGCUGAGCCAACAACUUUUCGUGGACUUAUUACCACUCUGGUAUUUAUGACCCAGCAGUGUUUUCUUUAUGAGAGCCCCACAGGGUGCAGAUUUUACACCUUGGUCAAGGUUUCAGUGUAUUUUAGAUUUCAAAGAAGUGGUCUUCUAACUCUAUUUCUGCACUGGCUGCAUAAAAGUUGUUUGUUACUAAGUCAUCAAAAGGAGAAUUAAGAUAACUCACAUACAUUAUAAAUUCAUCUUGAAAUACCUUGGAAGUUCUGCAAAAGGCAGAAAUCUUGGGGCAGGUAGAAGGAUCAUGGCUAUGUCUUCAAGGAUUGAUGACAUUAAAAAAAAAGCUUAUUUUAGCUGUCACAAAAUAAUUGAGAAGCUUCUGAAAUAUUUUUUCAGCUUUUACUCUUGUGUGUUGAGUGUGAAACAGCUCCUCUUAUUAGCAGUUACCUUUUCUCAUAAAUAAAUCUUUAAACUCUCCAAGACCUGUUUGCCAUAUAUACAUGAUAGUGCCUUGUUUGCUGUUUAAACAGCACACUGAUGAGAUGGUAGUUACUUUACUGUCACUAACGAAGUACUUACUUCAUCUGGGAGAUAACUUGUUUAUUUUCUCUGACUUAAUUUUUCAGAUAAGUUGAGUUUAAACCGAGGUCACUUGAUUUUACUUUUUUAAACCAUGGUUGAUUCAACAAGAUUGCAAUCAUUGGCCCUUUUUUACAUAACCAAUUCCCAGUCUUGUUCUGAUUAAGCUGUGAUUUAAGCAGAUCGUCAGUCUGCCAAGCAAAUCCAGGUAGGUAUGUUUAUCAAAUUGUAACCCUGGCAUAAGUGACCUUAACCCAACUAAGUGAGCUUAGUUGGCCAGUCUUCAAUAGCCUUGAUACAAAAAGCCCAUUUAUUAAAACAGGUGUUUGUGUGUAUAUAUAUAGAAUGGGAAAUCCAGCAUUUUAGAAGUCUAGGAAAUUAGUAACGUUUUGGGUGGAUGCUGAAGGAGUCUCAGUGUGUUUAGAGAAGUGAUUAAAUUCCUUGGCCUCCUUAAAAUAGUGCAUGCAGCUUUUCAUUUGUGUACCAUUAUGGAUCCUCUAAUCAAGAAAACACAAGCCUGAUAUUUGUACACACAAGCUAGGAAGCAGAAAUAUAAAAAUAGCUGCAGGUCUUUGUGGAGAACUGAAAUCAUACCAGUUCCUCCAGCCUUGUGGCUGGUUUGGUUGCUUGUGGCUCCUGGGGCUGGUUGGUAGGACAUCAAGUUAUGGAUGGUUCUCGUAUUCCACGGGGCGACAAAAUACUGACUAGAAAAUGAUCAUAUUAAAAACCUCCAGUUCCUUGUAUGUAGGCAUAUGUUUUUCUGAGACACUCAAGUUACUUGAUUUAGGGCAGAAAUCUUGCUUUUGAGCAAGAAUCACUGCUCCCAAAGCAGAGCACCCCAGUCCCCCAGGUUGUCCCCAGGUGCCAUCAGUGCCCGGGGCACACAGGAGGGACAGUCUCACUUCCAGAAGCAAAGCUGCGGCCAUACUGAGCUGGCCUGAGGCUCAGAGGUGCAAAGGGGCUUGGAGGGGCAUGUUUUUAUUAUGGAACAUUUAUUUGUGUUAUGCAGUCAUUUUGCAAUAUUGGCAAAGGUUGGCAGAGAAAGGGAAGCGCUGAGUGUCACAGUAUCACAGCAUCACACAGUAUCACAGUAUUACAGUAUGUUUGGGAUUGGAAGGGAGCUCAAAAGAUCAUCUAGUCCAAUCCCCCUGCUGGAGCAGGAACGCCUAGGUGAGGUGGCACAGGAACACGUCCAGGUGGGUUUUGAAUGUCUCCAGAGAAGGAGACUCCACAACCUCCCUGGGCAGCCUGUUCCAGUGCUCUGUCACCCAACUAAACUGAACUGAACUAGUUCAGUUUGGUCCAGCAGAGUGUGAUUAGCAUUUUCAGAGCUGGGCUUGCCAGAUGCCUGGAUUUCAAGCAUUCAGUUUAAAUUGCAGUCUGAGACCACUGGAAAUCCAGGGAAGUCUGGUUCAUAGCAAUUGCUGAAACCUCUUUGCUACUGUGCUCAAAAUCUCACAUCUUCUCCCCGUCCACACUAGCCAGGGAGCAUUUCUGAAUUAUAUCCUUCUUACAGAGCUGGAAAGAGCCAGAUAUCCCCCAGCAAUGUGCUUUUUUCAUACUUUGACACCUAUUGGGUAAAUGAAGGGUAAUGGGGCAAUCAGUACAGUCACAGCUGUAUGUAUGCUUUGCUCGGAUGGCCCUGUUGGAAGACACUUGCAAGCAUCACCCUGUAUUGAAGAGUGAAUGGCUGCGCCCUGACAACUCUGAUGGUCUUCUGUGAUGGACUUUGGAGCAACCAAAAGUGACUUAAACAGGACUCUGACACCCAAAUAAUGCUAAGUGAUAAGAAAAAUUGUGGCAAGUGAAGUUAGUCUAGAAUGUGACAACAUUCCCUGACUCCAUAGCAAAAUAUUUCACAAAGCAGCCUCUCUCACACAUUAAAAAUACAGGGACUUUAAUAUUGUAAGGUUAAACAAGUUUGUGCAGUCCCUGAUCACAUAAGAACAUUUCAAUCCAAGUUCUCCAUUAUAGUAGAAUAGGAUCUAUAUGAAAGAACCAAAUAUCUAUCUAGAGAUUUCUUUAGGACACUUGGAAGCAGGGGCAUGGGGGAAUUCAGCAGAAAGCAGAAUUUGUCAGAAGUUUGGGAAAGCAAAAUAAAACAAAAGCUUUAGCCCCAAACCCCACAUCCUUAAAAGAGCAAAAAAACACUUUAAAAUGGGAACUCCUGUCUUUAAUUCUAUGUAGUUAAGUGAUGAGAUGUCUUCUCUUUUAGUCUUUGCAGUGAACUCAGUGCUGGGGGUUAGAUAGCCAAGUGCAUCUGGUCAGGGGAUGCUCUUUUAGGAAAAGGAGUAUAGAGUUGGAUGAAGUGGAUACAGAAAUAAGGAAGCCUGACAUAGCCUGGACAAGCACAGCAGUAUAACUCUGAAACAAGUCUGAAUAAGACUUAGAAACCAAGCUUCCCUAGUUGGGACGGGCUUUGGAUCUUGGAGCUGGAAAAGUGUAUCUGAUGUAUAAUAGUUUGUGGAGAGAAAAUUAAACUCUCAGCUAUAAUUUUCUUACUCCUUAAUGAACUUCUCAGAGAGAUGAGAUAUGAGCAUGUGCGGCAUGCAGAGUGCAAGUGAGGGGCAUAAAGAUAUGUGUUCAAGAACUCAGUAUUCUAAUUUGUACAUUGGUUGAGAGACUUGGUAAAAUAGAAUAAGUGGGUAUAUUAUUCAAUUAUGACUGUACCAUUUGAAAUACAAUUGGAAAAUGAAUAAUUAAUAUCUCAUAGGACUGGCUAAGUUCAGAGGAAAAAACUUCAAAUAUUUUCAAGAUCCUAUAACAGUUUAAAUAAUAGACGACUACAUGUUAUGGUGAUUCCACCUCCCAUCCCUAACUCCAUAAUACAUUUGGAGUAUGUAUGAAUUUUCUUAAAGUGCAAAUAUUCUAAAAGAAAGCAUGGUGAAAUAAAUAUUAUAAUUGGAAAUCUACACGAGUGGCUUGCUGUAGGCCAACAAGAAAUGGAGAGUAAAUUUUCCAUGAAACAACACAGUGAACUUCUCCCAUGCUGCAUCAGUGAUAUCCCCCAAAAAAAUGGUGGUAGCAUAAACAAAGUAUGCUGCUUACAAACGGUUAUAGGGCUGUACAUAGUCAUGUUAUGUGGAUACAUAAUAUGCGGAGAUAGGACUAUUUUCUUUGCCAAAAUGCUUUUCCUUCCUUGUGUGGAGUAGCUGUACUCAUUUUUUUUUUUAUGUGGACAAGUGCAAAGUAUCCAUCUUCAGCUUAACAAACAGAUGUCCCAGUGGAAGCUUUUACCUGUUAAACUUGCAGUGUUUUUGGGGUGGCUUUCUAUGUCUGGCAGCUGCUUCUGCUGCACAACAGUGCUGUUCAGCACAUACCAGGUAUGGCCAGGGACGGUUGCCCUGACAAUUCGUUCCUGAUGAGUCAGACUUGUUGUCUAGGCAACUGCCUUCAGCUCUGGCUGGAGAACGAUGUGUUAAGACCAUAGUCUGAAAACAGCAAGGCCUCCAAGGGCGGUCUCAUCACACUUAAGGCUCUUCUAAACAAUCUUUACAGGCAUGUGCUGUGAAGAUGCAGUCUGGGUACAUGAGGGGGAAUAUGGUGUCAAUGAGAAAUGUCAUUAUUUGCUGCAAUGGAGAGUUGCUGCCUCCUCCACAGCACGGGGAUGUGGGGGACAGAUCUGGUGCCCGGGCACAGGCUCCAAAUCCCCACGAGAAGAUGCAAAAGGUGGAGUGGGAACAGCGGGUGCCCUCUCGUGCAGAUGUCUGCAAUUUCACUAAAUGAUGCAAAAUCGUAACUCUUUCCCUACUGUUAAAAUUUCCCUGCUGGGCAGAACAACCUUUCAUAACGUUCAGCACAGACAGUGCCUGGAGAGAAGAGUGUUUAGGAAUAGCUGUGCCUGACUGGUGGUGGUGCUGUCACUUACUCCUGAACAUUGCCAGAAUGAAAGGCUCCAGUCCCAGUCUUGGGGCCAUCCUGGUGUAAGAGAAGAUGAUAGAGGGCACAAACAGAUUUCCUUUUUCUUCUUGGAUAUGUACAUCUUCAACAAGGUUUCAAAUAGACUAGCUCCUUGUAAUAGCGUGGUGGCAAAGUUGCUCAUUCAGAAUUCCAUUCAACCAGCUCUGACAUGAGAACCUAAUUGCACAUAUUUGAGUGCACAUCUGAGCAGCUUCUAAAUAGCAUCAGCCAGGACUACUGAACCCAGAACAUUUACAGGGAGUGUAUACGUGUAGAUGUUGAUCUUUGAUAACUCUGGUUAGCUUUAACUAUAUACCAGUGUGCUGAAUUGGAAAAGUAAUCAAUUCAAGAAUUUGUGUAAAUGAUGAAAAAUAUUACCCUCUCCUGAAUCCCUAGCUGUGGUGAGGGUGUCUUUUCUAGACAUGUGCUUUGCAUGUGAGGAUGCAACUGUGGGGACUGCGCGUGGUUUAUACUUGGGAACUUAGGAACAAUGGUGUGAAACAGAAGUGCUAGGGAAUAGAAUAUAAUCAAAAUUGGUUUGGUUUUGUUUUCUAGUAGAGCAAAGACCAUUGCUUCUGUCUAGUUUUCCUUGGAAGUCUGUGAAGUCUGCAUGUAUGAGGGUUGUAGAUGUUAACUACUAAAAUUAUAUGAAGCUUCUUCCUUACAGUGUUGAAUUUUAUAGGUUGGUAUACACAAUAUAAAAUCUAUCUACUGCUAGACACAGUAACAAUUUCUCUGUCAAUACAGACAGAUGAAAUACAUUUUCUUUAAACACACAGAAAUGGUCACCUGAGACCUCUGAGACAGAGCAGCUUUCUGUUGCAGUGCUUCAACCAGAGCCAUCAACAAUCUUGACAGUUCCAGUUUCUUGUUGAAAUUGAAGUGUUUUCUGGGAAUAGAUGAAUUACUGCUAAUAAUCUUGACAGAAUGCUGUCAAAACAUCUUGUUUUGAUUUAUAUGGAAUAUAGAAUGCGAGUCAAAACAAAUCACUGGUGCUUGAAACAAUGUAUUUUGGAGUACUAAAUUUAAUGUUCUCAAUUCUCAAUUCUAAAACAAGUUCUUAGCAAAGAAUCUGGAGUUUCUGACAUAGAAAACUGUUCCUAAUCAAUUCAGUUCAUAGUUUCCUUUCCUCUUCAACUUAUAUUUUAGCAAAGUAUAGCCAAGUUAUAUAAAGAAAUACUUAAAAUGGUGAUUAUUGAUGUUUGUAAAAUCUCUAUAUGAAUAUACUAUUUGCUCUAUAUUUAAAGCCUUAAAAUAUAUUGUGUAUUUUAAUUGAUGCUGAGGGAAAAUGCUGUAUGUGCAUUGCAGUUGGGGCGAAUAAACACUUCAUGCUUUUCUUGGUCCCAUCUACCAAAACUUUUGUAGGUGCUAAACAGGAACGUGCUAUGCUUGAGAUACUGAGAAAGACUUUCAUUCUGCUUGCCAAAUACUUCAAAUUCUACUGGAUUUUUAAAAGAGAAGGUGAAAACCAAAUGCUUCGGCUCAUUGAAUUGAGUCAAGGUCCACAGGAGAACAUUGUUUAUUUCCCUGGGCUGAGAAUGAGGCAUUUUGUGAUUAUUUGCCUUCAGCCUAUGAACAAAGAUCUAGAAACACCUGGCUCUUACUUUUUUUUUUUUCUUUUUUAAAUCUCCGUGAGAAACAAGAAUUAUUUAUGGCAGCAUUUAAUUGUAACUAUAUACAAGAUUUAUUCAGUACCUUUACAGUUACUUAUCUUUUUUAGGCUUUCUUUAUGUGACAUCUUUGCAUCUGUAAAUAUCCCAAUUGUGUUUCUGUGAACUGCGAAGCUCCUUUAGCACUUCAAGACUCCUCAUAAUGGCAGCUAAAGAAGCCAAGCUAGUAGCUGUGCAAAUACAUGUAAAAAUCACUGUAGCUCACACAUGAGAUUGGCAGGCAUGACAGGGCAGGUAUUAUCAACACAUUUCCUGAUAUUUAGCAUGUAGGCAAAUGCAUCCAAACUUGCAUUCCUGCUGGCAUUAAAUGGCUGAGGGAGCUAUUUUGGACCACUUCUACAAACACUCUGAAACUCUAUGUGCUAAGGAUUACUAGAGCUAGUUGUUGUAAUCAUAGAACCCGUUAUUAUUCACAUUGCUUUUCCCACUUCAUUGCUUUACAGCUUUAUUUACUUUCUACUUUGUAGUUUUCUAUAGCUGUAAUGAGCAUUUUGGUUUUCUUGGUUAGUGUCAGUUUAAAUUAUUCUAGCAGAAAGCUUCCUAUGUAAAGACAAGUUAGGUGUAGAAGCGUAAUUUGUUGGAUGUAGUAGGCUAACAACUAAGUCAAGUUACAAGGUGUGAUUCAAGGAAUUUGCGGUAUAUGAAGUGGAAGAAGAAAAUAUUCUAAAAUCCAGUCAACACUUCAAGGCAACUAUCACUUGUGUUGUCUGCACAUACAUAUUGCAAGACAUUGGUUUAGCAACUAAUGUAACAGGGAAGGUAGUCUGCAUUCCCUUAAAAAUUAAGAUGUUAACACCUCUAUUAGUAGAGAAGAAAAUGCGGUGCCAGUUUUCUGUUUGAAGACUAGAUACCAUGCUGAAAUACACAAAAUAAUUAAUAUCCCUAUUUUGAAUCUUCUGAUGUCUCUAAGUCUUCCAAUAGUGCCCCAGCUUAAAGUAGAAAAAUCUCCUUAAUUUUCCAGUUGAAAUAAACAGCACUGUUCAGCGUAGCACCAAAGUGCUCCCAGAAAGUGUUUAGCUGGAACAUUUGCCACUCUUUCCAGCAAAAUUUGCUUUCAUGACACAGUCAAGAGCUAGUUGAGGGUGUCAGUAAGUAAACUAUCAGGCAGCUUCGUGCUUACAAGUUUAUGGCAGAUCUGUCUGUAAAGGACAGUGAAUGGAAACCCACACUUUUGGUGGGAGGGAGGACGAGGGGAAGGUAGGAGGGAAGGAAGGAAGGAAAAGCUGCUGUGGGGUCAAGAAGUGGCACUCUUCUUGUCAGCUGCACUGAGUCCAUAUUCUGGCAUUUGGAAGGGGCUGUAAUGUUUUACUUGGGAUUCUAGGUGAUUAUUCUGAAUAAAUAAUAAGUCCUCUGUGUGUCUUUAACUGUUAAAAGCAACAUUUUGUCCAAACUUCAGCUCAUGUAAUUGAAAGAGGACUUUUUUUUUAAGAAAGCAUACUAUUUUUAUAUAAAUACUUGCUCUCAAAAGAUUUGAGGGGAGUUACCAAGGUCUGUUUUCCUCUCUGAUUUGGUAAAAACAGAGAACCCUACAUAUGGCAAGCUUUUCUCUUUCCUCCCAUUUUCAGUGUGUCCUUAAGUCUCAAACUAUUUUCUAGUACAAGAACUACUAGUCAGCAAAUGAAGCUAGUGGGAGAUGUGAUCAAAACAAGGCAAAGUAAGUGGUUUUUCACACAGCAGGUGACAGACAUGGAGCUGCUUGCCAAAGCAAGCUGUGGAUGCAAAAGCUUUUUAUAUGGAUUCAAGGAGAUUUGACUCAGGAAAUUCCCUGAAAUGAAAAUAUUUAGAAGCUGGAAGAGAGAGCAUCCUUCUUUUAAGGCAUGUACCUGCCUUAUUAAUUAGUUUCCCUGGUUGUCCACAUAUUGCUUCUGCUGCAGACAGAAUACUGAGCUCUGUCUGAGUCUGCACCACUCUUCUGCUGUUCUCACUGUAUUUUGCACUUCACACUGUUAGUGCUCCUGUGGCUUUUAUGGAAACAGAAUAACACCCCAGAGGUAGCUGCAUGGCAGCUUUUGCUGAUGUAAUCCCUUUGAGAUGAAAAGAGCUCUACACAUAACUAUACAGUAAUGUCCUAACCUAGCAUUUCUGAUGAGACAGUGAAAUGAUUUAGAGACCACUAGAUACGAAAAACAUUCAGCAGUUUUCUUACAGCCUUCCACACUUAAGGCAACAAGUGUUAUAUUCUAUAGCUCAUAAAAUUCGCACUGAAAUUAUAGUUGAAACUGGUAAGACUCUUACCUGGAAAUCUCUGGGUAGACAAUAGAAGGUGCCCAUUCUCCAGACAUAAAUAAAGAGCCAAAAAACCUGUCAGAGCUGGGGAAGACAUAUGGAAAGCAUGUACAGAGAGUUAUUCUGCAGCACUGGGUAAUGUGUCUCCUUUCUAGCUCCUUGGGUUUUUUAAAGGCCCUCCAUGAGCUCCCUCACUCCCAGCUGAUUAUUCCAGUGUCAGCAAGUAAUGGUCACAAGGUGGAGGCAGAACUUAUCAUCCCAGAGAAGGAAAGACUCCUUUCUUUCUCUGUCCCUUUGACUUGUAGCCUGGCCUCAGACCAGGAAGGCGCUCACUUUGUACUUCAGCGCAACUCCAGAGGAAUUCAAUAGCCCUGUAUUUGGAUUUACAGAAUUACAGAACUGCUUGUAGCCCAGCAGGACCGAGUCUGCAAGACUGUGCACCAUCCAUGGUUGUUUCCCACUCACCUGAACGGAUGUCUAAGAAGUAUUUUUUUGUCUUAAGUAUCUUUGAUUAAUUGUUUGUGUCAUACAUAGAUAAAAUAAGUUAAUGAUACAUGUGGCCUGGCCUUGUUUUCCUGUCUCUUGCAUAUAAAUAGGGAUGAAUGCAAGCAGACAAAAAAAAAAAAAAUAGGAGUUGUUCCUUCAUCUUGAGGGUACAUUGUAGAAAAAAGUACCUGGGCUCCCCUUUCACCUCCAUCUGCUCUUGACUUGAGUUCUUAAUGACAUUUAAUCAAUGAGUGUGUUUGCCUGCCAAAGAAUUAGCAAACUUUCUGCAUAAACUGCUCUUCAUCACACAGCAUAUGUGCUAUGUUGACCCUGCCAGUGGAAGCCACACAGAGCAUAACAGAAAAAAAGACAGGGGAAUAGAUCGUGGUGUGGGUGCAUAGGCAGGGUGGGGGAAGAGGUUGUUGGGUUUUUUUUUAAGAUUUAUAUCUUAAAGCACUUUAUACUUUUAUACUGUUGUUGCAGUAUCUCUGCCAGCAAUUAGCACACAUGCCUCCCUCAGGAAUAAUAAGAAAUAAAAAGCUGUGAGGCCAAUAGGAUUGUCAGUCAAGAAAUCCAGUAUGUGAGGGCAUUUUCCUACUUGCUGUUACGCUGACUAAAUGCAAAAGGCUCAUUUUUGGAUGGCCACCCAGUCAUGUAAAGUUACCCAGUUUUGCUUUUAUAUUUCAGUACUGUUUUUUCUUUCUUCAGGGUUCAUUUGCUGCUUUCAAACAGUACCUGUACUUCAAAUACAUCAGUGAUUUGAGUACCUUUCUCGAAAAAAAAACAGAACAUCUGCCAAAUUAAUGAUAUAUUAGUGUUGCAAUUUGGUGCAUUCAGUUAUGCCUGGGAAGAAAUUGAAUACCUUCUAUGUUAUUAGUUGUAAUACCCUAAUUCCUUGGCAGUAAAAAAUAUAUAUAUUUAUAUACAUAUAAUAAAAAACCAUAUAUAAAAAACCAAAAAUACCAAACCAUCUUUACAUGUUUCAUCAGCCAGUCCUCCUUUAAAGCUGUGGUUGAUCUUCUUUCUAGAGACAUGCUUGUUUUUUUCUUAAGACUGGGAGAGGGGAUUAGUUACCCAAAACUACUUUUAAAAUGAAAAUGUUGGACUGACCUCAUUAUAUCAGCAGAGAGAGAUUAGAGGGGUUUUUUAAAGGAUAUGUCAGAAAUUAUGGUGGGUUGUUUCUUUGUGUGUGUUGUGGUGGUGUGUGAUUAAGUGAUGUAGAUAUAAUGUAUGCUCUCACAAAAGUAAUAUUCCACUGCCUUGAUGCCAUAUAAUGAAUCUUGGUGUAAAAUUUAGGCUCAGUUCUCAGCCAUCUCAGAGAAAAGCUCUGAUUCUCCUGUGUUUUAAAAACUUGCCUAGGGCUGGCAGCAGAGAGCACUGCACUCGGUGGGCAGAUUGGGAGGGCUCUUCCAUCUAAUGGGGAGGGGAACCAGUGAAGUAUGUGGGUCCUGAAAAUAAGAUGUAAUAAAAUGCAAUGUUUCCACAAUGGGAAAGUGGGGAGGUACCCAGGACUCGUGCGUCCCAAGGACACCUGUGGGCAUGGCAACAGUGGUGAGCAAAGAGAACCGGUUUCUGAGUAGCCAUCCCUGCUUCUUGUCUGACAGCAGGGUGCCUCUGUGUCUGUGUCUCACAGUGUUUAGCUCAAAUAACCACCCACAUAAGCAUGAGGAUUUGUAUGCUCACAUACUCCUAUCAGCUCUGCAAGCUUAAAUAAACACUGAAACAUGUUCAGUGAUAGAGCAACACUGCUGUGCUCUGUUAGUGACAGAGCAGUAGUUUUACCAGUGGACCACUGGUUGCUCUCUAUAAUCAGUGAAAUUCAACUCACUUUCUCUAUGCAGCAACUUGUGUGUGCUACUUCAUUUGCAUUGCAGACAACCAUGAAAAUGACCUUUUUUAAUUGAAAAAGAACCAUUUUAUAGUCAAGUUCAAUUAACUUAAUCUGACAAAGGCAUCUGCUCUGAUUUGAUAGUAAUGACAAUUUUACAAAUUCAUCAGUAACGUUAUCCCAGUGUGUGUGGUUUUUCUUUUUUUCCCUGGUUAUAAAGCACAUGCAAUAAGUGUUUGCUAGUAGAGAGAAGCCUGAGGAGCUGAAGAGUAUCUGUUCAUGAUCAAACUAGGGCAUCAAAGCAGAGACAAUGUCUGAAAUACAGCUGGUGUCACCAGGCAGGUGAUUGAAAUGGACUUCUGUGUUGUAGCAAGUAAAGAUGUAGGCCUAGCUCACCACAGCAAUUAAACUUGUUUCUGACCUGAUAGGCCUUAAAUCAUGUGAGUUAGGGUGUUCCUAAAUUAGGAUCAAAACAGAUAAAAUGCCCAAGUGUUACUGACGUUGAUUAAGCAAACAGCAAUCAGAUUGCCAGUAUGUUGCAGCUCUGAUUUUAAUGUUUUCUAGACAAAUAACAAUAUGUGGUAGCUGAGUAUCUGUCUCUUCAUAUCAUUCUGCAGUAACACAGAUGUUUACUGCAGGGCUAUUCUGCAAUCAAGUGCCCUUAGAGCUGACCAUGCUUUAUCAUGCUCCUUAAAUGAAUCACAGCUGAGCUGGUCAAGUCCAAUACUAUUUCUUAGGAAGUGGCUGACUGAUUCUGUCUUUGUUUGUAUGAAGAGGAGGAAAAAAAUACAAAUCUGUUCUCAGGUGUUAACUGACUGAGGUGGAAAAACACUGCUAAGAGGGAGAGUUACAGUGGGACACACACACAGAAGGAUGGGGCAGAAAUGGGAGUGAAGAGAAUGGGAAGAAGAGGAUGAUAAAUAGCUGAAGACAGCAAGAAGCCUGACCUGAGGGAGGCUGAAAUGAAUUUGGAGAAGCUGGAGAAAACAGGGAGAGGUUCGGUCAAAACUAAUUUCUGACAGGUAUUCUCUGAUAUCUUCCUGGUCAUUUUUUCGGGGGGUGUGUGUGGGGAGGGGGUUGUCUGUUUAUUUUGUUAUAUUUUUCUAUAGGAACUGAGCUGGCUUUGUUCCCUGUCUGGUCAAUGCUGUCUCAUGCUCCCAUGUAUCCCCAGGUGCAGACCCUGUCACGCCCUUUCUCCAGGGUAGCAGCACUUGUUCAACCGCCUGUUGUAGCGAGAUCGCUGGUUGCACUUUCCGGCUGUAAAAUUGUAACUGGGAAUUAGGGUCCCAUUUAAAAAAAAGGCAUAUGAGAGUCUGUCACUUGAAUGCAUUUGAAUGUGAAUUAAAAUUCUCAUAACAAAGUAAUCCAUUGCAGGAGGUGUUCAUGACAGACUUCAGCUCUGUAUAUCUGCUAUAGGUUGAUUAAUUUUUUCAAUAGUCAAUCUACAGUAAAAACCUGCCCAAGUCAGACCACCAUUCUCUGGAUGUCUUCUUAGAAACAGACCCUUAUAAACAUGAUGCUUUUGCUGAAGUUUUCUAAAUUCUUCCCUUAAAAAUCCAAAUUCACUAAUUAUUUCCUAAGUUAUCAGAGCCAAAUUUCAGCAUUAUAGGUUGACUGUCUUGGAGCUUGCUUAAUCCAGUCAAUAAAGAAGUUAGCAUUUUUAUCAUUGCCAUUCAAUCCAGAAUAUAAAUGUGAAUACACUUUCAUAGUAUUGUACCUAUCUCAAAGGAUUUGAAAUUAUUCACUGAGGUCAGAUUUCAGUACUCAGUGAAACUUCCAUUCUGUAAAUGUCAGUGGUGUUUCUCUUUGAAUAGAGUUGCAACUUAAGCAUGCUUGCAGUAAUUUGCUUUCUAGUCCUUUUAUGCUAAAUAAGGUAAUUGAAAUUCUUCUUUCUUUAGUCUGAAAAUAUUUUCAAUAAAACAAAUGUAUUCUCUGUUGAGAUUUUUGUUAUCACAAAUGUGUUCAGAGGUACUGAUUUGAUCAGGAAAAGCAUCACCAAUUACAAUCUUAUAAUCUAGUGUCCUUACCAAACAUGAGUGGUGUUAUCUGUGUUGUUAUUUAGGAAACUAUUUCCGCCAAUUUUUUUAUUUUCAAAUUCAGAUGUAGUUGGAGUAAGAAAGUGAGCAUGGGGUUAUGUGGGGCACUACGCAUUGUUUUGACCCUUAGCAUCCUUGUCUCUGACUUAUUUCACUUCUCUUUUUAGUUUAGUUGCCUUAUACUUUGUGUAACUAAAUGUCAUUCAGAUUCUGACCUGUUUCUCAGGGUCUUCACAAUGGACUAAGUCAUUGCAGAAGGCAAGAAACCAUAUGAAUAACAUCUUAUGGUUCACUGUAAUUUUCUGCAUAAAGUUUCUGUGUAAACUGCUCAGUCAACAGGAAGGAGAAUGUUCUACCAAAUGCACAGGGAGGCCACUUUAUUAAAAAUAUUUGUGCACAUGCACAAAGGAAGCCAAGCAUACAUGUGAGAGGAAAACAAACUUUGUCCCUGGGGGAAAAAAUAUAGACAAAGUGGUUUUGUAGGCAAAUAGGCUUUAGGGUGGCCAUGUGCUUUUUAACUAUCUCUGAAGGACCUUGAGAGCUUUAAUGUCUGGAAAGAAACUGAAAGGUGUAACACAUAAAAUGUUUAUGAUAAAAGGGGAGCAGGUGUUUUUUCUCUCUUGGUAAUUCAUUAUUAAUGUUUUCAUGGCUGGAGAAGGUAGAGCACUUUUUUUUUUUUUUCCUUCUCUUUAUAACUUGGGGAAUUUUAGUACAUGGUAAACAAUGGGUUUUCCAUUCCAGCGAACAAGCUGUUCUGAGCUCUCAAGCUGUAGCUUUUAGCCCAUUAGAUUGAACGCUGCUGGAGUGAUGGAUGCUGCAGCCACCAUUCAGUGUUGGCAGUCUGGUGUGUCUCCAUGCUUCAUUAGUCAGUGAAAUCAGCUUGAAAGGCAGCAGUUGUCUUGACAGAAGCACUGAGAGAGGUUACUUGUCAUGUGUUGGGUUUUUUAUGCAGUAAACGUUUGGCUCCCAGGGAGUGACAGUUGUCUGGAGCCUGAAGGAAAGGAGGUGGAAGAAAGAGUGAACAUUUAGCCAAGAGGUGUGGGAAAUGCCUCACAGUAAAGAGCAAACAGGAUUUGGUUCUGCUGGCCCAAGCCUACUUAACCACAGGCAGGAUUUCAAGAGCAUGUAGGAGCUGCGCAAAUGGAACUCUGACCUUGCUUUCUGAGCAGCUGAGUGCCUGCCUUUCCUCACCAUACCAACUAGCUAUGAGAUAGCACUGUGAUUAAAUAAGAUGAUGAUUUGAAAUAUUCUCAGUACAGCUCCUGCACCAGACACCAACUGGUGCUGGUGGUUGGGCUACCUGAGGAACCGACUCAAAUUCUGCAUCCUUUAGAGCAGGCAGUGUCCCAUGCCCACUACUCCUUGGCCUUUUUUAAGGAAAGACUGCUCUGUCCCAGUGUCUGUGAACUCAGUAUCAGCUCUGAUGACAAGAAGCUAUGAUAACAGUUUGGUCUUGUUGCAGAUAAGGCAAACUGUGUUCUGGGGUGCGUUAGGAGGAACAUAGCCAAGCAGACCAGGGGAGGCAUCUAUCCUCACCUCCUUGGCACUGGUGAGACAGCACCUGGAGUGCUGGAUCCAGCUCUAAAGAAGGUGAUCCCUUGCUAGCUGUCCCUGGCAGUGGCUGCAGUCUCUCUGCUUUUAUAUGCUUUGCAGUGGGUUCUGUUGCUUGCACUGGGCUGGAGAAGCACAAGAUUGUUUUGCGGGUUAUGUGAAGUGCUUUGUUUCCUGGCUAGCUGCUGCUUUUUGAUCUUCAUUCCCUACCUGUUUCCACUUCAAGUGUUCCAUAGAGACUUUCAGCUAGCUCCCAAGAGCUCAAGCUCAGAUGCUGCAAACUGUUGUUUAAAAACAACCAAAAAAGACUCCCUGGGUUCAGUCCCUGUGUGGAGUCCUUGCUGUUAGAUACUUCAUGGCAGAAGGCACAUCUGCAGUAUAAGCACGACAGCAGAUAUAACACACUAAUUAAAGCAACUCUUCAAGUGAUGUCUCUCUAAAUUACACUCUUGGGUAACUGACUCUUUAUUGUUGUUAUACUUUCUCCAUAACAUCUCCUCAAAAGAGAACUUCCUUUUGCCUUUUUUUUUCAAGAAGAAUGAUUCUUUUGUGGAUUGGCAGGCACUAAAUUAGAAAUAGUUCUUGUCCAUGUUCUAAUAGAAAAUCACCUAUUACUAAUAAAGUUCCCUAAGGUGCCUGGAUUUCAUAAGCCUACCAAGCAGCGUGAAAUAUUUGGGAAGCAGUAAAUGGGAGGGAAGGCAGUUAUGGUCUCUUAAGUGAAAGAACUUAAUGGAUGACUACAAGGAAAAUGGGAGAAGGAGUGGGUGAUGCAAGGAGUCAGGCAUUGCUAACUAGACAUCCUCUGUCCAGGAGAAACGCCUGCUAACCAUGUCUGAACAACGUCACUCCUUUUCUGUCCUCCCCAUUGUCCUAGAUGUGCAUUCUGUGUUGUUGAAUACAAAAAUACUCUAUCCAAUGUGGGGGUUUUGUUGCUGUAUUUUGGGUUUUGUUGUCUUGGUUGGUUUUGUGGCAUUUUGUUUGUUUGUCUUUUCUAGCGUAAAGUCAUCUAAAGACAUUUAAACUGGUUUUAAACUGGUCUGAAAUGGUAGCAGUAAGAAUGAAACCAACAGUAUAAAGCUAAGGAAUCAGAAAAUUCAGGAUUUUUUUUUUUAUUUUGGUAAAGUUCGGAUCUAUUGUAGUAAUUCAGGAAUAUAAUUACCUCAAGUACCAUGACCAGAUCCAUAAUGGAACAUCUAAGAAGUAGUACCGAGUACCUACAAUAGGCUAAAUGACUGCUCAGCAUUGGGAUGUUUUCCCUUGCACAAUAUUUUUGUAUCUUCGAUGGGUUUAUGCCAGUGAGGUGAGGAGCUUUCUCAGUCUUCAUCAGCCUCAUCAGGAGUUUGGGUUGCUUAGCAGCUGUUGGAGUGGUCUACAGCUCUGACACAGUAUUUUCAUGCACCACAGCAUGACUACUUUUUACAGUAGUUUUGGAGCAGUGAGUAACACUGCAGUUAGGCUUGAGAAGCUUUAGAGACUGAGAAACACAUAGGCUCAAGUCCAGGUCGGUCAUCAUCUGAAUGAGAACAGGAGUUGCCUUCAGCUUUGAGUGUAGUUAUGAGAGACUUAUAGCUCAAGGGGCAAUUCAGUCUGCCUAAGAAUUAUCCCCCAGCUCAGAUCCCUUGAGCCACAUGAACACAGGUGGGAUGAAUCCAAGUUGCAGCUAAUAAUGCUCAAGCCUCCCUUGAUCCUUACCUUGCUUAGUUUUCUGAAUCAACAUGUUCUGUUUAUUGACCUACCUUUUCUAUCUUCCUAUCGCUAUUAUAAAAAUAUUGACUGCGUGAAGUGGGGAUUACAGCUCUCCAUCUGUUUUACCCACAGCCCAACACAAUGGGAGCAAAGCUUGUCUGUGCGCUGUUGUGAGUGGCUCUGAAGACACAAGUGACUGAACUAAAAAAGCAUCUGUCUUUUGGGUUCUUUGUCUUGAUCCUGUCAAUUAUUUUAUUAGAUCCCUAAACAAGUUAAGUACUCCAGACGUGGUGCUAGUCCCAAGUGUCCUUUUCCAACAGGGUUUUGCUACAUCGCGAGCCUACUUCAGCUGCUUGCUUUCUUCAAACAGUUCACGAUCAUAUUAUGAAGAGCAACAUUCUGAAACCUUAAGUAAAAACCUCUUCAGCUAAGGAAAGCUCCUGAAUCUCUUCAGGACUUGAAGGCAAUUUUAGUAAUUUGUGCUAGAAACACUCAAGUGAAGACAGCCUAAUACGUUAUACCAGAAAGCAUCUGAAUAACACCGCAUACAAGAAAGCACCUGAAAGCCUGCAUAGUACAGCAUCCUGGUUUAAAACAAGGAAGAUAGCUUGUGGCAAUGCUAGACUUGAGCUAAAAAAAGCUGCAAAGCUGUCACAGGCAACAAAAGAUGAUCAGGCAACAGACUUCCUUGAACACGUGCCUUGUAAGGGCAGCUGGAAAUGGCAGCUAUAAAGCCAUGCUGUUUGGUGGCAGUUUGACUAAAUUUUGUUUGCUUCUAUAGCCUUCUCAUGGUUAUAAAGGUUAAUACAGGCAGUUCACAGUGACUCAAGACAACUGCUAACAGAGGAACAGCAAAAACAUCCAGAGGAGCUGGGGGACAAUUACUUUAGAGGAUAUUUGACAGGAUGAGCCCUUGUGCAGGGAACAGGAGCGACCUGCAGACAGACACCAGGUUUACAAACAGACCUUGGAAACUACAAAAUUGUAAGUUUCCAGUGCUUGAGUUCUAGCUGAAUUGGCUCCUGGAGAAAACAAGUUCAUAUCUCAUAUGUCCAAACCUAGCUGUGUAACAUUUAUUGCUCACAGUGGCAGCUGCCUGGAAGUAAGGCUUUGAACAAAAGCUGGCUCUUUUGUAUCUCUUUUGCACAAAUUUGACUCACAAUCUUAUGAUUUGUACGUGGAUGUUACAGGCCACAGCCUGUCAGUGUUGUCACCCUUUGUCAGCGCAAAAUCUGUUAAGCACAAAUAAAAACCCUCACUGGAAAGAACUGAUCUUCCCUGCAAAACUCUUCAGGCCUGGCUUGCCUCUGGCUUGGAGGGGUUCACAUGAACAGCACUCUCCUUCCUCAGAUCUACUAAUAAUCUUUUUUCAUCAGUAUCAAGUAAUGUUUUCAACCCUUUGUGUUGCAGAAAUGCCAUAAGGACUGCUUUCCUAAAGAACAACCAAAAAGUGCUGUGUUGCUCACUAGUAAUGUAGCCACAGGUCAUUAAGGGCUGCCACCCUUCACAGCAAUACGAAGAGCCAAAGGUGGUAAAGAAGCAGUGCCAAAGCUGUAGCAACAUCACGUUACAUUUUAGACCAUUCAUGAAUUUGUUUCCCUUUGUGAUUAUUUAAUAAAAAUUCAGGAAUGGGACAGUAUUUGUCUGACAGGUUUGUUUCUGUGUGUGCUGUGCUCCUAAAGCACAGUAAAAAGCAAAGACUUUUCAGCUUUCAACCCCUAGCUUUGGCAAGGAGUAAUUUAAAGAGCAGUGUGUUUCGGUAGACUUGAAGCUUAGCACUAGGUGGAAUUACAAAAUCCAAGAAAGGUCUUGGGACAGCAUGAUGGAGUGAGGAACAGGAGAUUUUGGUAAAAGUGUGCAUUUUGUUCUUGUGUGGUUUAUGGGCAGUGUUUAUUCAAAAGCAAUUCUGAAACGAAUACCAGUAAUAGUUUUUGUCCUUUGGUUUGAAAUGGUUAUUUAGUAUUCAGAUACACAUUAAGUUUCAGGUUCUUGUUAUUGUUGUUGUUGUUGUUUAGUUUUUAAAUUCGAAUGGAACAUCUAUUUGUAGAUUUUGGGGGGUUUGCUCUAGAUAUAUUUCUAAGUAAGAAAAAGCAUCUGACUUUUAAUUUUUUUUAGUUUUGUUCUGUGAAUCCGUUUCAGUAUGACAAACAAAGGACUAUGAAAUUAAAAAAAAAAAAAAUUGCUUUGAACUUCAAAUUAUUAAGAGAAAAACAAUUUGGAAACUCUCAAGAACCGGAGAUACUAUUACUUUGUAGUUCAAGUUCACUUUUCUUUUAUUGUGAGGUGCAAGACUUGAUAAUGGCAGUUAAGAAUCUUUAUCAGAAGGAUAUGCAGAAAUUUCUGGGGGGCAGCUACACCUUAAUGUGCUCAAAGAAAUUCCACCUUAUUGCCUUCAAAAUGAAGGAUGAUGCUUCAGUAACACCAACUGCCAGCCCAGGCUCUGAAAAGGGAGAAAUAUCGCCAUCUUGAGGUUACUGUUCUGCAUGGUGACUAAGAUGAGGUAAUGCGAGAAAUAAUGAGCUAUAGUUAAUUAAAAUUAAAAUAUAUGAAGUUCUACUUGAAAGACUCUGAUGGAAUACAAAAAUAAAGUUACUGCAAAAGAGAAAUUUUUCUUUUUCUUUAGAUGUACCCUUUUCUUCUAAAGAAAAAAAAGUUGAUGAAUAGCAUUUGUCAGGCUGUCAGAAUCCUAUUAAAAUAGUAAGUGUUCUUCUGUUAAAUAGAAGGAAAAAAAUUCAGAUGAUAUGUUAAACAUAUUUCUUAAUUUUAAGACAGCCUAACUACUACUUUUGCCUUCAUAUAAAAGUUCUGCAUUCAUUUUUACAGGUGUAACACCACCGUAGAUUCAAGUUCUUAGUAAUUGUUAACGUGUCAUUUUGUGUGUUUUGACUGUACAAGUUGUUUCUUUUUUUUUGAGAACUGUAACUGUGUGUAAAUUACACUAUGCCAAGAGCCACAUACAGAAAAACUUGCUAAAUUCUACUUUUUAUCAUCCUAACACAGACCUAUUACAUAUAUUUAGGGCUUAUCUAAGCUGAGGUGACAGGGGAAUGUAUUCUGAAAUGUAUGCUUAUUCCUAAUCCUUAAGGUUAUUGAAUUGAAUGAUUCAAGAUCUAGGUGGACAAAUAGAAAAAAAGUUGAAUUUCAGCCCUUAAAAAGCCCUCGAAUUUCAGCACAAUGUUAUGGGAGUUGAAGUCCAACAGAAUUUCACAAUACUUAAGCAGCAGGCUUUUAGUGCUUACUGCCAAACAAAAAUAAAAUAUCAUCUGGGAGCAAUUUUAUAACUCUUGUGUUCUUGACCUGGUCACUGGCUUUCUGAUUAACUUUGGACCUGUUGCUGAGUGCCUGCAUUCUAGCUGCUUUGCCCAUAAAAGAGGUGAUAUGUAAAGUGAAAUGCACAAAUGCUAUGAAAUCCGCAGAUCGUGGAAAAUACUCUCAGAAAGCUGCUUUGCUGUGUAGAUACCAAUAGCAGUAACUGGCAGGACGUUCAGAGCAGCUGGGGAAGGCAGGGUGUCCCAGCCUGCUCUGUGCUGGUUCUCUGGCACACCUCGCUGCAGGUCUCUGAUUGUGGAAAAAGUGCCGACUGCACGGCCCUCAAAACCACAUCUGCCGUGCUAGUGGGCGCUGUUGAUGUUAUGCCGUGGUAUCUUCUUAGCUUUAGGGGAAAUCUGUAUUUCUGCGGUUAUGGCUGUGUGCAUACUUUGUACUGUGUUUACAGUUUUAUUUUUUAUGGGCUAAGCUACAAAAAUAGUAUCUCGGCUUCGAGACAUAUUCUAUGGGAAAAAAUCUAUGGAUAUACAGAAACUGUAUUGGAUUUCACAAUGGAAGAGCUUUUUUCCUUCCUUCUGUUCUGCAUCCCCCGGACUUGCACAUGUUAACUACAGUGAUUUUUAUUUUUAAUGAGGAACGGAUUUCUUCAGUCUCCCAUUUAGUACUUCUUUUUCUGGUUUUGUUUGUUUUUUUAAAAAGUAGGUCAAUAAUAGCGCUCAAAAUAGAAGCUUCACGAGUCUUCAUUUCCAAAGGUUUAGGGUUGUUUCAGGUCAGGGUAGAGGUCUGACUAGUCCAGUAAUUUUUUUGACAGCAGCCAGUAGAAGAUGCAAAGGGAACAGUGUGAGAAGCAGCCAAGAAUAUUUCACCACCUAUUUUUUCCACUCAGAUUAUCAAGUCUAAUAUUAAAAGAGCAAUGUGGACAUACUCACGUGUUUAUCUAUAUUCACAUACACAAGACUUUGUUGCUGGGUUAAAGAAACAACUCAGCUGUGCCAAGAAUCAACCUCCUGGCAUGUAAUUCAAAGAAAAACA